CACAAUCCUACUGUCCUCAAGCAAGAUCACCUCAGGACUGCAAAAUGACUGCUGCAGCACAAGUCAUUACAUCCAUGUUUCAGGAAGCCACGAAGGCCAGAAACAAAAUCAGACUGAACCAGCUAGGUCCAAGAUGGCGGGCAAAGUAGGCUAAAGUACCUGGUGUUUGGCAGAGAUGCUUCGCGGGCUGUACUUUGAGAGAUACACAGUGGUCAACCAUCCCAAACCAGCUCUGACGACCACGGGAACACGCCUGCGCAGAUGAAACCAGGGGGCUGUCCCAGCAUUACCUUCGCUUCAUUACCUUGCUAACAUCUCCGCCCAAAGCGGGGAUUUGUGCUCUGCUAGGCACAAUUUGUUCCACGUGCAAAGAAGCGUGGCAGACUGCGCAUGACCUGGCUGCCCCUGGAAAUCUCCGCCCCUUUCCUAGAGCCCUGAUGACCUUCUCCCUCCUAACCCUAAAAUUCCCUUACUCCCCUCUUUGGGGAGAAGGUGCUUCUAGAAUUUGAGCUUCCCUUCUCCAUUCUCUGGCCUUUGGGUAAAAGCCUGUUUUGCUUGCACCAAACUCAAUUUCAUUAUUGGGAGCUCGAAACUGAGUGGGAAAGAACUCCCUGUCUGAUAGGGGUUGGGGGAAGGGAGAGCUUAGGUUCAGCUAGGGCACCAAGAGUGGGGGGUCUCACGUCUAAUUCAGUAACAUUACCAUACUGCUUGUAUCCGUUUUCAACUGGCUUUUUUUUUUUUUCGGUACGUGGGCUUCUCACUGUUGUGGCCUCUCCCGUUGCGGAGCACAGGCUCCAGACACGCAGGCUCAGCGGCCAUGGCUCACGGGCCUAGCCGCUCCGCGGCAUGUGGGAUCUUCCCGGACCGGGACACGAACCCGUGUCCCCUGUAUCGGCAGGCGGACUCUCAACCACUGCGCCACCAGGGAAGUCCUCAACUGGCUUUUGAUUUUCACCUAACAGUGAGAUUUAUUGAUAUUAAUAAUGUAGAUCUAGUUCAUUCAUUUUAUCUGAUAGUAUUUUGUUGUAUGACAUUUUUAUAAUGAUAU